rnacentral:rRNA from 1 species
CAGUCGCCGCGGGAACACGUAGGGUGCGAGCGUUAAUCGGAAUUACUGGGCGUAAAGCGUGCGCAGGCGGUUCGUUAAGACAGAUGUGAAAUCCCCGGGCUUAACCUGGGAACUGCAUUUGUGACUGGCGAGCUAGAGUAUGGCAGAGGGGGGUAGAAUUCCACGUGUAGCAGUGAAAUGCGUAGAGAUGUGGAGGAAUACCGAUGGCGAAGGCAGCCCCCUGGGCCAAUACUGACGCUCAUGCACGAAAGCGUGGGGAGCAAACAGGAUUAGAGACCCGUGUAGUCCCUGUCUCUUAUAC